UACGUAGGUGGCGAGCGUUGUCCGGAUUUACUGGGCGUAAAGGGCGUGCAGGCGGUUUGUUAAGUGCAGAGUGAAAGCUCCCGGCUCAACUGGGAGAGGUCUUUGCAUACUGGCAAACUCGAGGGAGGCAGAGGAAAGUGGAAUUCCCGGUGUAGUGGUGAUAUGCGUAGAUAUCAGGAGGAACACCGGUGGUGUAGACGGCUUUCUGGACCGUAACUGACGCUGAGACACGAAAGCGUGGGUAGCAAACAGG
rnacentral:rRNA from 1 species